rnacentral:lncRNA from 10 species
GAGGGAGCAGCCCUGCCCGGAGUCUCAGGCUCCCGCCAGCCCCAAUCCCGGGCGACUGCGCCGAGCGCCUCCGGAGUCGCGGGAAGCUCCUCCUGCUCCGCGGCUGGCGCCAGUUGCACGGUGGCCGCCCCCAAAUUCGAGGAGGAAGGUGCAAAGUGGUGGGAGGCUGCGGGUCUCCCGGAGGGUGAGGCGUUGGGGACCAGGCGGGAGCACAGCCGAACCCCUACCUUUCGGGCGGGGCGGACACCAGCCGCGCGCCCUCGCCGGGCGCCGGGACCGGAAAAUCACCGCGAAGGGAGGGACGAGGAAAGGCGGCGGGUGGCUUCAGGACAAGGACUUUGUGAUUACAUUGGGCCCAUCCAGAUCAUCCAGGAUCAUCUUCCCAUCUCAAGAUUCUUCACUUAAUCACAUCUGCAAAAUUCCUUUUGCUGUGUAAGCCUGAAAAGUAUCUUGCAUACACAACUGGCAGCACAGAAUCCUGACAAACCUCUCAUCAGAAAUCAACCACAGACUCUUUAUGCUCUUACCAAAAUGCUGGCUUUGAGAACUAAUUAUGAAUGAAAAUUACUGAUGUGAUUUUCAGUCUAGGGAAGAAUAUCAAGUUAAACUUUAUGAAGUCCAAGACAAUGGGAAAAGAAGAGGUGUUCCUGUCCAGGCCCUCUUCCAGUUAGAAGGUGAUGGUUUCCAGAAGUCUGCACCUGUAUUUCAAUUACCUAUAAUGGAGUUUAUAGGACUAAACUAUAUUCACUAUAUUUUCUUAUUUUUGUGUGUGUGUUUGAUGUGCUGGCAACUGGGGACUUGGUAACUGGGGAGGGAUAGCUCUUCUCAGGAAGAGCUAAUUCUUAGAGAUACAGGGAGCAUGCUUUUCAUAUGCAAACUACUCAAACUGGAGUCCACACUUCCCCAACCUCCUCUAUAGGACUCUUACUCUCCUGCCCGAUAUUCCCCUGCUCUAAUCAUCUUGGGGCCAGGUACCAGGCAACUCAGGACGGCCACUACACCUCCAGAGCCCACUGACAUUAUUAAAACUAGACAAUUCUAAGCUGCUUGCCCUACCUUGACCUUAUUCCUUUUGUUGCAAAACGCAAUAAAGGGUCUUGCCACAUUUUCCUUCUGCUCCCUCUGCCUCCGGACUGACCCUGGUGCUUUCCUUUGUGGGCCUUCGUGGCUUACCUCGUGUUUCUAGGAACCUGCAAGUGUAAAAACUUCUUUCUUCAUGACAGUCAUUUCCAUGACUGCUGCCUUACUAUACCUGAUUUAAACAAAUCCUGAGCACAUUUUAAAACAUAAAUUCAACAGCUGGACCUGCUAUGCAGAGCAAUUCAGGCGGAGGGAAUGGCUCAUGCACACUCUCCAAGUACUGUUAGGUAUGAGUUCUAAAUUUCUCUUCAAAGAAUCAAUAUGUCAGUAUGUUCAGUUCUUUGCCUUCUACUGUUAAACUUAACUUCCUCGUAAAGCAACCUUUUUCCAUUACCUGCUCCACCCUGACUCAUUCUGAUUACCUGCUCAUUCUCCACCCUGGCUUACUCUGAUUUCCUGCUCUGCCCUGUAACCAUUUUUCCCGCCAAACCACUCACCCUGUCACUCUCUUUAAAUUAGCCAAUUGGAAUUAGUUUAGCCUGUGCAGUCUAACCCAAGCCAAUAGGGGAACCAUACAGCAGCAGGGACCACGUGCCUCAGGGAUAAGAACCCCUUCCCCUCCCUUGUCCAAGUGUGCGCUCACGAUUGCUCCAUCUGUAAGGGUGCACCCUUCUAUAGAAGUACGUUGUCUUGCUGAGAAUUAAAAAGAAAAUUUUAUAUUCGAGCGCUAUUUCUUUUGCGGCACUGAAACUUUAUUUAUAAUAGUAUGAAUGAGCCUGGCAUGUGCAGGGAAGAACCAGCAGAUCGGUCUGGCUGGAGCAUAUCAUACGAGGGGAGCGUAAUGGGCAAGGAAGCCAAAGAGGAGGUAGGAGCUAGAUCGUUCAUCACGCAGGGCCUCGAAGGCAAGGGUAAGGAAUUGGGAUUUGAUUCUAAAUGCGAAAGGAAGUAAAUAAAAUAUUUUACGCAAGGAGUGAUUGAAUCUGACAUAUUUUUUAAAAAAUCACUCUGAGGUCUACUUGGAGAAAGAAUUACAAUGAUGCAAGAGUGGAAGCAGAAAAGCCAGUCUGGAGACUACUGCAGGACCUGAGGCAAGAGAUGACAAUGGCUUGGACCAUGCUGGCGGCUGUGGAUAUGGAGCCCAGUGCCAUCUAAAUUUAUCCUAAAGAAUGCAGAAAAUCAAAGACUAGUCUCAUAUGAGACAAACUCAAGCCCCA